GUUAGGAAUAUUGGACAAUGGGCGCAAGCCUGAUCCAGCCAUGCCGCGUGAGUGAUGAAGGCCUUCGGGUUGUAAAGCUCUUUAGCCGAUGAUUAUAAUGACUGUAGUCGGAAAAUAAGCCCCGGCUAACUUCGUGCCAGCAGCCGCGGUAAUACGAAGGGGGCGAGCGUUAUUCGGAAUCACUGGGCGUAAAGCGUGCGUAGGCGGCUUUGCAAGUUGGGAGUGAAAGCCCAGGGCUCAACCCUGGAAUUGCUCUCAAAACUGCAAGGCUCGAAUUCGGGAGAGGAUAGCGGAAUUGGCAGUGUAGCAGUGAAAUGCGUAGAUAUUGACAGGAACACCAGUGGCGUAAGCGGCUAUCUGGACCGAUAUUGACGCUGAGGCACGAAAGCGUGGGGAUCAAACAGGAUUAGAUACCCUAGUAGUCC
rnacentral:rRNA from 1 species